rnacentral:rRNA from 1 species
UACGUAGGUGGCAAGCGUUGUCCGGAAUUAUUGGGCGUAAAGCGCGCGCAGGCGGUUUCUUAAGUCAGAUGUGAAAGCCCCGGGCUUAACCUGGGAACUGCGUUUGAAACUGGGAGACUUGAGUGUGGCAGAGGGGGGUGGAAUUCCACGUGUAGCAGUGAAAUGCGUAGAUAUGUGGAGGAACACCGAUGGCGAAGGCAGCCCCCUGGGUUAACACUGACGCUCAUGCACGAAAGCGUGGGGAGCAAACAGG